rnacentral:lncRNA from 1 species
GUGAGUGCGGGAGGCCGCCGCUGGCCUGGGAAGAGGGGAGCGGGUUAGGAGCGCGGGGUCGGAGCGGAACCCCUGCACCCCCCCUCCUCCCAGGACUAGGGAUCUGCCGCUAGAGGCGGGGGCCCAAAGCCCCCCGCUGGGCCCGGGCGAGGAUGGGCGGGCAGGAGGCGGAGCGCAGCGCGGCGCUGCGCUGGGCGGCGGGAAAGGGGCGGGGAGGACAGCUCAGGCUUAAGCGGGCAGAGGGACGGUGGCAGAACCUGCGGGCUAGGUGGGAGGCUCACCCACAGGGAGGAAGGGAAGCGAGGACCGCCGCUGCUGAGGAGCGAGGAGACGCUUGGAGUCCAGGGGUCAGGCCGCUGCCACCUCCUCCUGCAGCGGAGACAGCACAGCCAGCGGGCGCACUGGCCGCAACGGCAACCCUCCGCGCAGGUGGGCACCCCCGAGCGCGGCGCUCUGCCCCUUCUCGGACCGCCGCGGGCCGGAUGCCCUCCUUUCCAGGCCACUGAGUUCGGGGGCGAGGGCUGGGCAGGUCUGGGGGUAGGAGGAAUGUGCACGGCUCCUUGGUGUGCACGCUUGUGCGCGCGCGCUGUGCUAGGUGGGGAAGAGGUGCGGGAAAGCAGCCUCCCUCAGGAUUUACUCCCUCGGGUCUCGCUGUCCCCACCCCCACUCUCUUCUGACCAGCAGAGCUCUCGAGCGGCUUUAGAGAACUGCGACCCCCUCCCUCGUCCGCAAUCUCGGUGGUGUGUGCACUUCGCCCCCCUCUUCACAAUCCACACCCAGCAACCAUCAGGACGCCCCCUGCUCUGUAGGAACCUUGGGAGAAGAGAGAGUGGUGGCAAGACCAGCCAGGGUGUGUUCGGGGAAGGCAGGAGUUGCUGGAGUAUUGUCUGCCGGGGACGGUGCCUGAGCCCGCGCGCUCCCUCGCGCUUUCAGGGCCAGAGUUGGGGGCGGGGGGCGGGCGCGGGGGGUUUGCUGAACUUAUCUCCGAAGGCUGACUGUGCACAUGCACUUGGCGACUUGUGCACGUUUGGACGAGGACUUAAUGGAGGCACGUGGGAGCAGGAUCGGUCGCUGGCGGGCCCCCAAAGAGCCUCUUGGCUCUUGGGAUGGCCCAGCGCGUGUUCUGGGGUGGGAAGGAAGGGAGAGUGUGCGUGUGUGUGAAUGUCCGUCCUAGGGAGGAGAAGGAGGAGAGUGGCUCGAGGAGACUUGAUUUUCUUGGAUUUGCUGCCAGUCCGUAAACCAAACCAGGCUUUCGAGGCGCUAAAGUAAAUUACCGGUGGCAGUGUAGAAGCCAAAACGGGAGCUUCCAGAAGUGGUUUCUGAAAAAUAAGAGUGAAUAUACAUGAGUAAGCAAGCACAAGAAUCUGAAAAACCACAGGAAUGAAAAGCAGAUAACUCUUUAGAAAACUUUCGUAGGAAAAGCACCUCGUGUGAUCUGGAACAAAGACAUUUUAUAAUCAGAUUUAUCAAGCUGUGAAGAGGGAGUUUUAGCGAACGGAAGCAGCAGCCUUCUGUCACCAAGAAAUACUGCUUUAUCCAGAAUUGGUAAGUGAAAAAAGUGGCAUUGCUCCCUAAUAGAUAUCAUAUGGUGUGUGUGGGAAUUGUAAAAUGGUUCACAGACCCCUAACAACUGUGUUGAACCAGAGAACACAGAAACAGAGUGAGGAAUUCUAAAAAGAAGCAGCCCAAGAAUAUAGCAUAAAGGCUGAGAAGAAGCCAGGUAAUUUAGAAAGAUGAGCUGAGUGUUACCACUUUAGCCGAAUAUAUAUAAUACAACUAGUUUGGCUUUUUUCCCCUUUUCCUUUUUAGCGGGAGGAAACAAAAUCAAAAUGGGCUUUUUGGUAGAGUUGCAGCAUUAACUUUCCAUGGAUAUAGAUUUCCAUUUAGUCGGAAUAGUAUCUAUGAUAUUUGAAGGGAUGCUUUCAGAAUUAGUCAACUUGCCCUCCUUUUCCUCCCUCUACCCAAGGAUGUCAAGUAUUUAGUUAGAACUCUACAAAACGAAAGUUUAAGUAAUGCAUUGGAAACAUUUCCUACUGAUUGUGAAGGACAGAUUAAGAUGGUAAUAGAUUUUUUACAUUUAUGUCAUGAAUUUUAAGAUUGUUCUAUUUGAUUACAUUAGUAUAGCAAAGGGGUGGUUAUUUCGAUAUAAUUAAUCCAUUACGUUUUGAGAGAUUGUGAUUAGCAGUUCUUAUGGGUAUGCGUGUAUGUGUCUGUCUUUCUCUGAAAUCUUAAAUUCCGUUUUCUAAUCUUGACUCUGAGCUACCCCUAUGUGCGAAAUUUCCAGAAAAAAAUAGUAAAUCUUUGAAUACCUGUUUUAUAUACAGUAGAUUCUUGUUCAUGAACUGUAAGGAAACAAUUUUAUAUUAGACGUGAAUGUCUGAUUUCUUGGUUUGGCUUCUUAAGAAUGAUUGUGCAGGAAAAGUUGAAUAGGAUAAGAAAAGAAAACUAGAAUGGUGGGUGGCUACCUGAUUUUACCAAUUUCUUAUUGGUCAAUAGAAGCAAUCAUGUGAUGUCUACUUAUAUAAAGUCAGAUGGAAAAAAUAUUCUUUAAAUGCUG